rnacentral:rRNA from 1 species
AGUGAACGCUGGCGGUAGGCCUAACACAUGCAAGUCGAACGGCAGCACAGUAAGAGCUUGCUCUUACGGGUGGCGAGUGGCGGACGGGUGAGGAAUACAUCGGAAUCUACUUUUUCGUGGGGGAUAACGUAGGGAAACUUACGCUAAUACCGCAUACGACCUACGGGUGAAAGCAUGGGAUCUUCGGACCUUGCGCGAUUGAAUGAGCCGAUGUCGGAUUAGCUAGUUGGCGGGGUAAAGGCCCACCAAGGCGACGAUCCGCAGCUGGUCUGGGAGGAUGAUCAGCCACACUGGAACUGAGACACGGUCCAGACUCCUACGGUAGGCAGCAGUGGGGAAUAUUGGACAAUGGGCGCAAGCCUGAUCCAGCCAUACCGAGUGGGUGAAGAAGGCCUUCGGGUUGUAAAGCCCUUUUGUUGGGAAAGAAAAGCAGCAGGUUAAUACCCCGCUGUUCUGACGGUACCCAAAGAAUAAGCACCGGCUAACUUCGUG